AUUGAACGCUGGCGGCAGGCCUAACACAUGCAAGUCGAACGAGUGGCGGACGGGUGAGUAAUGUCUGGGAAACUGCCUGAUGGAGGGGGAUAACUACUGGAAACGGUCGCUAAUACCGCAUACCAUCGGAUGUGCCCAGAUGGGAUUGGCGAGUAGGUGGGGUAACGGCUCACCUAGGCGACGAUCCCUAGCUGGUCUGAGAGGAUGACCGGCCACGCUGGAACUGGGACCCGUUCCAACCUCCUACGGAAGGAAGCAGUGGGGAAUAUUGCACAAUGGGCGCAAGCCUAAUGCAGCCAUGCCGCUUGUAUGAAGAAGGCCUUCGGGUUGUAAAGUACUUUCAGCGGGGAGGCGUUACCCGCAGAAGAAGCACCGGCUAACUCCGUGCCAGCAGCCGCGGUAAUAC
rnacentral:rRNA from 1 species